rnacentral:lncRNA from 1 species
UGCCUAUCUCCUUUGUCAUCCUUCCCCCUACCUCAUUUUUUGAGGAAAUGCCUGCUUUGUGAAAUUGUGGGUAAACAGAUCUCUGGGCCCACUCAAAGGGUGGUUCCUGAUCCCACUCUGGAGACGGCUGCCUCUGACUCUUGGCUUUCCUCAUCUGACCUCGCCUCAUUCCUAGCCACUCAAUCAAAGGAGACAGAGAGAGAGAGAGACUGACUUGGAAGGAGAACCAAAAGGAAAAGGAGACUAAAGUCGUUUUAUUCUAGAUGUUUUCGGACAGGUGUUCACGUCAUCUCCAGAUUCCAUGAAGAGAUAAUCUCCAAGGUAUCCCUCAAGUUAAAGAGACGGCACUUCUUCCCUCCCCCGCCUUUCACCACGCACCAGUGCCAGCCGGGGGAGGAGACGGCUGAGAGAAGAGGGAGGAAGGGGGAAAAGUGAGAGAAGCAAGAUGAGAAAGGGGUGUUGAAGGGAGAGAUGAAGGCAGGAGGAAAGGAGUGUUAGAGGUGGUGGCGAGCUUCUGGCGACCGCCCGCCCGCGCUCCGGACCCAGCCGGGCGCGGCCCCCGAGCCCCGCGGCGAGCAGCCCAGCCCGCGGCCCCGAGAGCAGCCCGGACGCGACUCUCCGCCCGGCAGCGACCGGCGCUCCGCGCGGUGACCCCCGCCCGCGCACCCCCGGACCUGGAGCGCCGCCUUCCCGGCUCCGGACUGCUGCGGGCCAGCGCUCCCGGUAUCCAUUUUUUCAGCUAUAUUGAUCUUUUAAA